rnacentral:rRNA from 1 species
UACGUAGGUGGCAAGCGUUGUCCGGAUUUACUGGGCGUAAAGCGCGCGCAGGCGGUUUGUUAAGUCCGCUGUGAAAUCCCCGAGCUCAACUUGGGAAUUGCAGUGGAUACUGGCAAGCUGGAGUACGGUAGAGGAAGGUGGAAUUCCCGGUGUAGCAGUGAAAUGCGUAGAGAUCGGGAGGAACACCAGUGGCGAAGGCGGCCUUCUGGACCAGUACUGACGCUCAUGCACGAAAGCGUGGGGAGCAAACAGG